AGAAGCCAGUCCUGCCAGGGCUUGUGGGAGGGACAGGCCCCUGCAGAAAGCCUGUUCAAGACGAGGAUGAGGCACCUUCUGCAGGGGGUGCUCCCCAGGAAAGGCAAAGGACGGGAAGGUCCCCAGCACAGAGGCCCGCCUGCAGCAGCCACUGCCCGCAGCUGGGGGCCAGGCAGACGCAGAUCGGUGAUGGACAGCAGAGCUGCGGAGGCUCGCGUGCUCCAGACAGCUGCUGGCCCAGAGGAGGGCACAGCACUUCACCCGGGACUUCAUGCCCCAGAGGGAAACCCUUUCCUCCUGUGUGCGCCCAACACCAGCAUCGUUGCCUCUCCUCUCAUGGACAAGGACAACGACAACAGUGGUGACGGUGGGGUGGGCCGGUGGGGGACACAGAAGUGAUAAAUAGUGAUGGGAAAAAUGAUAAUAAAAUUUUUAAAACUUUC